rnacentral:rRNA from 1 species
AACGAACGCUGGCGGCGUGGCUAAGGCAUGCAAGUCGUACGGGGCUGGAUCGGUAGCAAUAUCGGUUCAGUUCAGUGGCGGACGGGUGAGUAAUACAUAGGUAACGUGCCUUGUGCUCGGGGAUACCGUCGGGCCCGCAAGGGUCCUUUGCGAAAGUGACGUUAAUACCUGAUGACGUCUUUGGGUCGCAUGGCUCGAAGACCAAAGGUGGGGACCGUAAGGCCUACCGGCACGAGAUCGGCCUAUGCCCUAUCAGCUUGUUGGUGAGGUAACGGCUUACCAAGGCUCUGACGGGUAGCCGGCGUGAGAGCGCGACCGGCCACAUCGGGACUAAGACACUGCCCGGACACCUACGGGUGGCUGCAGCAACGAAUAUUCCGCAAUGGGCGCAAGCCUGACGGAGCGACGCCGCGUGGAGGAUGAAGUCCUGGUGUAAUACAACUAUUAGUCAGAGACGACACGGCUAACUAACGUACGGUAAGGUAGGUACGACGACGAGACGAAAGGGAACGGACGGUAACCG